UACGAGAGGCCCAAACGUUAUUCGGAAUUACUGGGCUUAAAGAGUUCGUAGGCGGCAUUGCAAGUAGGGUGUGAAAGCCCUCGGCUCAACCGAGGAAUUGCGCUCUAAACUGCAGUGCUUGAGGAAGCUAGAGGUGAGCAGAACAGAUGGUGGAGCGGUGAAAUGCGUUGAUAUCAUCUGGAAGUACCGGGGCGAAGGCGGCUCACUUGGGGCUUUCUGACGCUGAGGAACGAAAGCCAGGGUAGCGAACGGG
rnacentral:rRNA from 1 species